UACGUAGGUGGCAAGCGUUGUCCGGAUUUACUGGGCGUAAAGAGCGCGCAGGCGGUUGUGCAAGUCGCGUGUGAAAUCCCCCGGCUCAACUGGGGAACUGCACAGGAGACUGCUUGGCUUGAGUUCGGGAGAGGGAAGCGGAAUUCCGGGUGUAGCGGUGAAAUGCGUAGAUAUCCGGAGGAACACCGGUGGCGAAGGCGGCUUCCUGGACCGACACUGACGCUGAGGCGCGAAAGCCAGGGGAGCAAACGGG
rnacentral:rRNA from 1 species